UGAUUGGACCUUGUCACAUAGGUUGAAGAU
rnacentral:piRNA from 1 species